rnacentral:lncRNA from 1 species
CCAAAACAAAGCAGGCAGGAAGGAAGGGGCUUCCCCCUACGGCUGACUCGAGAGAUGUCAGAGGAAACAUAAAAACACAACUGCGAAGCGCCAGCACCGUGUUUUCAUAUUUAUAGAGAAGUGACCCGGGUAAAGCAAGAACUAGUAUAUGGUAAAAACAGCCGGUCCCCUCCCUCAGCACGGAGGACUGUUUUUUAUCCCACAAGCAAACAUUUCCAUGCCACUGUUGAAUAGCUAGGAUUUAUGGAGAACUGAUUAUUAUAUCCUAGGGACUUCUGUUUAAUUCACAGUCCCCUUUAAAGCCGAGAGAAGGAUCGCAUGACCAGAUGGAACAAAGUGGAAGUUCAAGUCAAGAUUCGAGGAAGGAAUGAAGGAGUGAUGAAGAAGUUUUCUAAGGAUGGUGGACUGCUUCUGGCUUUUCUAAGACUUUCUGGGUUUCAGGACUCAAAGUUCCAUCAUUCAAGAAAUCAUCCGGCAGCAUAAUGACACUAAACUCCUUUAGGGUAAAGGACUUCAAUUAUUUUCAAGAGGAAAGACAAGGAAAGAAAAAAGCAAGAGGAGAUUUUCCACUAGAAAGACCCCCCUCCCCACCCCGCUCUGAAGUUCCUGACAAAGACCUUCUCAUGAGCAAGCCAGAGUGUUCAUACAAUCUUGGUUCUCUUUGUGAUCCUGGUACUUAGAACCUAUCAAUUUGCAAAGCCAAAGUCCCUUCUUGGAGCUUAUAUUUUACCAAGGGUCUAAGGGAUGCAUGCUCUCUAUAAUAGUGUGUGGAAGAUGAAGAAAAAACAAAGGAUGAGUUUGAAGAGGAAG